GCGGGCGUGGCGGAAUUGGCAGACGCACUAGACUUAGGAUCUAGCGCCCAGUGCGUGGGGGUUCAAGUCCCUCCGCCCGCACCA
rnacentral:tRNA from 1 species